rnacentral:rRNA from 2 species
GCAGCAGUGGGGAAUAUUGGACAAUGGGCGAAAGCCUGAUCCAGCCAUGCCGCGUGUGUGAAGAAGGCCYUCGGGUUGUAAAGCACUUUCAGUGGGGAAGAARGCCUUGGGGCUAAUACCCUCGAGGAAGGACAUCACCCACAGAAGAAGCACCGGCUAACUCCGUGCCAGCAGCCGCGGUAAUACGGAGGGUGCGAGCGUUAAUCGGAAUUACUGGGCGUAAAGCGCGCGUAGGUGGCUUGAUAAGCCGGUUGUGAAAGCCCCGGGCUCAACCUGGGAACGGCAUCCGGAACUGUCAGGCUAGAGUGCAGGAGAGGAAGGUAGAAUUCCCGGUGUAGCGGUGAAAUGCGUAGAGAUCGGGAGGAAUACCAGUGGCGAAGGCGGCCUUCUGGACUGACACUGACACUGAGGUGCGAAAGCGUGGGUAGCAAACAGGAUUAGAUACCCUGGUAGUCCACGCCGUAAACGAUGUCGACUAGCCG